rnacentral:lncRNA from 1 species
AGUUUUGAUUUUCUUGCAGUCAGAUUUGUUACCACAUAACUAGCUUAGAGUUUGAGUUGUAAUAUUUUUAAAAAGAUUUUGUUGAGAUGACAGACUUUUUUUCAGUUCCACUAUUUUGUCUUUACAAAACAUUCCUUGAUAUGCAUCGAAUUUGGCAGCAUGCUUUUGCACAGAAUGUCUUCUCAAAUUGUAAUCUUUGAAAACUGACACAACUUCCUUACAAAUUAAGCUUAGUGCCUUAUUGUUUGUCUCAACAACAAAGUGCUCAUCUUUUGUUGAACACUCUUCCUUCAUCCACGAUUUUUUUUAGGUUCUAUUUUCUUUUGAGAUGACAGUAGGUAGGUUGAAAUACUAUUAUUGGUAAUCACUGCAUUUUACUCAGCAAGAGGCACAUGUGCAUGUAACAUGUAAUACACAAGUUUUGAUUUGAUUGCUUGUUUUUCAGUGGAACACAGGAGAAAAAGUGAUGUAGAAUGACAACUGGAAGGAUUUCCAAGGAAAGAAAGAAUGACAGAACCUGUAGAUGAAGACAUACCCACAUAUUAAUGAGAGAAAAUCUGACCAGCAGGGCUUCUCACCAGAAACGAGAGCUGGGCUGCAGGACAGAUCAUGCAAUCACAGAAUAUCCUGAGUUGGAAGAGACCCACAAGGAUCACUGAGACCACCAACACCAUACUUGUCAUUAGCCUCAGAAGCAAAGAAUGGAGUUGAGACACAGGUGCCCCAAAGCUUUUUCUAAAGCAAGAAGAGGAAUGCAUGGCACUGAGGGAGCUGAGCAGGUGGUGGUGACAGCACUCCUGAAUGGGUCCCUCCAGGCUGCUUGAGAACGCAGUCCGGGAAGAAGCUCAGAGAUGAUUCCAGUCCUU